UUAGCGGCGAAUGGGUGAGUAACACGUACUUAACCUGCCYUCUAGAUUGGAAUAACGCUGAGAAAUUAGCGCUAAUGCCGGAUACUUAUUAGUUUGCGCAUGAAAUUAAUAUAAAAGGAGCGUUUGCUUCACUAGAGGAUCGGGGUGCGUAACAUUAGCUAGUUGGUAAGGUAAUGGCUUACCAAGGCGAUGAUGUUUAGCGGGGUUGAGAGACUGAUCCGCCACACUGGGACUGAGAUACGGCCCAGACUCCUACGGGAGGCAGCAGUAGGGAAUUUUCCACAAUGGACGAAAGUCUGAUGGAGCGACACAGCGUGCAGGAUGAAGGCCUUCGGGUUGUAAACUGCUGUUAUAAGGGAAGAAAAAACAGAGGAGGAAAUGCCUUUGUCUUGACGGUACCUUGUCAGAAAGCAACGGCUAACUAUGUGCCAGCAGCCGCGGUAAUACAUAGGUUGCAAGCGUUAUCCGGAAUUAUUGGGCGUAAAGCGUCUGUAGGUUGUGUGUUAAGUCUGACGUAAAAACUUGGGGCUCAACCCCAAAUAGCGUUGGAUACUGGCACGCUAGAAUUGUGUAGAGGUUAGCGGAAUUCCUAGUGAAGCGGUGAAAUGCGUAGAUAUUAGGAAGAACAUCAACAUGGCGAAGGCAGCUAACUGGGCACAUAUUGACACUGAGAGACGAAAGCGUGGGGAGCAAACAGGAUUAGAUACCCUGGUAGUCCACGCCGUAAACGAUGAUGAUUAGCUGAUGGGAACCAUCGGCGCAGCUAACGCAUUAAAUCAUCCGCCUGAGUAGUAUGCACGCAAGUGUGAAACUUAAUGGAAUUGACGGGGAUCCGCACAAGCGGUGGAGCAUGUGGUUUAAUUUGAAGAUACGCGUAGAACCUUACCCACUCUUGACAUCUCCCGCAA
rnacentral:rRNA from 1 species